UGAGUUGAGGUCCGCUGGCUUGGAUGUUUAGUUGUUAACUAAGUUUUUUAUGGGAUCGAGGCCCAUCAGCUCAG
rnacentral:tRNA from 1 species